UACGAAGGGGGCUAGCGUUGCUCGGAGUCACUGGGCGUAAAGGGCGCGUAGGCGGCGUUUUAAGUCGGGGGUGAAAGCCUGUGGCUCAACCACAGAAUGGCCUUCGAUACUGGGACGCUUGAGUAUGGUAGAGGUUGGUGGAACUGCGAGUGUAGAGGUGAAAUUCGUAGAUAUUCGCAAGAACACCGGUGGCGAAGGCGGCCAACUGGACCAUUACUGACGCUGAGGCGCGAAAGCGUGGGGAGCAAACAGG
rnacentral:rRNA from 1 species